rnacentral:rRNA from 1 species
AACGAACGCUGGCGGCAUGCCUAACACAUGCAAGUCGAACGAGAUCUUCGGGUCUAGUGGCGCACGGGUGCGUAACGCGUGGGAAUCUGCCCUUUGGUUCGGAAUAACAGUUGGAAACGACUGCUAAUACCGGAUGAUGACGAAAGUCCAAAGAUUUAUCGCCAGGGGAUGAGCCCGCGUAGGAUUAGCUAGUUGGUGUGGUAAAGGCGCACCAAGGCGACGAUCCUUAGCUGGUAUGAGAGGAUGAUCAGCCAAACUGGGACUGAGACACGGCCCAGACUCCUACGGGAGGCAGCAGUGGGGAAUAUUGGACAAUGGGCGAAAGCCUGAUCCAGCAAUGCCGCGUGAGUGAUGAAGGCCUUAGGGUUGUAAAGCUCUUUUACCCGGGAUGAUAAUGACAGUACCGGGAGAAUAAGCUCCGGCUAACUCCGUGCCAGCCGCCGCCGUAA